rnacentral:rRNA from 1 species
UACAGAGGGGGCGAGCGUUGUUCGGAAUUACUGGGCGUAAAGGGUGCGUAGGCGGUCUCGCAAGUCUGGCGUGAAAGCCCAAGGCUCAGCCUUGGAAGUGCGCUCGAAACGGCGAGGCUGGAGUGCCGGAGGGGAGAGUGGAAUUCCCGGUGUAGCGGUGAAAUGCGUAGAUAUGCGGAGGAACACCGAUGGCGAGGGCAAUCCCCUGGGCCUGCACUGACGCUCAUGCACGAAAGCGUGGGGAGCAAACAGG